rnacentral:rRNA from 1 species
AUACGGAGGGUGCGAGCGUUAAUCGGAAUUACUGGGCGUAAAGGGUGCGUAGGCGGCUUGAUAAGUCGGAUGUGAAAGCCCCGGGCUUAACCUGGGAAUUGCAUUCGAUACUGUCAGGCUAGAGUAUGUCAGAGGUUGGCGGAAUUCCUGGUGUAGCGGUGAAAUGCGUAGAUAUCAGGAGGAACACCAGUGGCGAAGACGGCUAACUGGGACAAUACUGACGCUGAGGCACGAAAGCGUGGGGAGCAAACAGGAUUAGAUACCCGAGUAGUCC